CCUACGGGCGGCAGCAGUCGAGAAUCAUUCACAAUGGGGGAAACCCUGAUGCUGCGACGCCGCGUGGGGGAAUGAAGGUCUUCGGAUUGUAAACCCCUGUCAUGUGGGAGCAAAUUAAAAAGAUAGUACCACAAGAGGAAGAGACGGCUAACUCUGUGCCAGCAGCCGCGGUAAUACAGAGGUCUCAAGCGUUGUUCGGAAUCACUGGGCGUAAAGCGUGCGUAGGCUGUUUCGUAAGUCGUGUGUGAAAGGCGCGGGCUCAACCCGCGGACGGCCCAUGAUACUGCGAGACUAGAGUGAUGGAGGGGGAAGCGGAAUUCUCGGUGUAGCAGUGAAAUGCGUAGAUAUCGGGAGGAACACUCGUGGCGAAGGCGGGUUCCUGGACAUUAACUGACGCUGAGGCACGAAGGCCAGGGGAGCGAAAGGGAUUAGAUACCCUUGUAGUC
rnacentral:rRNA from 1 species